CUUGUACACACCGCCCGUCACACCAUGAGAGUUGGGAAUACCCGAAGCCUGUGAGCUAACUGUAAGGAGGCAGCAGUCGAAGGUAGAAUCAAUGAUUGGGGUGAAGUCGUAACAAGGUAUC
rnacentral:rRNA from 1 species